rnacentral:rRNA from 1 species
GAUGAACGCUGGCGGCGUGCCUAAUACAUGCAAGUCGAGCGAACAGAUAAGGAGCUUGCUCCUUUGACGUUAGCGGCGGACGGGUGAGUAACACGUGGAUAACCUACCUAUAAGACUGGGAUAACUUCGGGAAACCGGAGCUAAUACCGGAUAACAUAUUGAACCGCAUGGUUCAAUAGUGAAAGGCGGCUUUGCUGUCACUUAUAGAUGGAUCCGCGCCGUAUUAGCUAGUUGGUAAGGUAACGGCUUACCAAGGCAACGAUACGUAGCCGACCUGAGAGGGUGAUCGGCCACACUGGAACUGAGACACGGUCCAGACUCCUACGGGAGGCAGCAGUAGGGAAUCUUCCGCAAUGGGCGAAAGCCUGACGGAGCAACGCCGCGUGAGUGAUGAAGGUCUUCGGAUCGUAAAACUCUGUUAUCAGGGAAGAACAAAUGUGUAAGUAACUGUGCACAUCUUGACGGUACCUGAUCAGAAAGCCACGGCUAACUACGUGCCAGCAGCCGCGGUAAUACGUAGGUGGCAAGCGUUAUCCGGAAUUAUUGGGCGUAAAGCGCGCGUAGGCGGUUUUUUAAGUCUGAUGUGAAAGCCCACGGCUCAACCGUGGAGGGUCAUUGGAAACUGGAAAACUUGAGUGCAGAGAGAGGAAAGUGGAAUUCCAUGUGUAGCGGUGAAAUGCGCAGAGAUAUGGAGGAACACCAGUGGCGAAGGCGACUUUCUGGUCUGUAACUGACGCUGAUGUGCGAAAGCGUGGGGAUCAAACAGGAUUAGAUACCCUGGUAGUCCACGCCGUAAACGAUGAGUGCUAAGUGUUAGGGGGUUUCCGCCCCUUAGUGCUGCAGCUAACGCAUUAAGCACUCCGCCUGGGGAGUACGACCGCAAGGUUGAAACUCAAAGGAAUUGACGGGGACCCGCACAAGCGGUGGAGCAUGUGGUUUAAUUCGAAGCAACGCGAAGAACCUUACCAAAUCUUGACAUCCUUUGACUGCUCUAGAGAUAGAGUCUUCCCCUUCGGGGGACAAAGUGACAGGUGGUGCAUGGUUGUCGUCAGCUCGUGUCGUGAGAUGUUGGGUUAAGUCCCGCAACGAGCGAAACCCUUAAGCUUAGUUGCCAUCAUUAAGUUGGGCACUCUAAGUUGACUGCCGGUGACAAACCGGAGGAAGGUGGGGAUGACGUCAAAUCAUCAUGCCCCUUAUGAUUUGGGCUACACACGUGCUACAAUGGACAAUACAAAGGGCAGCUAAACCGCGAGGUCAAGCAAAUCCCAUAAAGUUGUUCUCAGUUCGGAUUGUAGUCUGCAACUCGACUACAUGAAGCUGGAAUCGCUAGUAAUCGUAGAUCAGCAUGCUACGGUGAAUACGUUCCCGGGUCU